rnacentral:rRNA from 1 species
GAGAGGGUGACCGGCCACACUGGGACUGAGACACGGCCCAGACUCCUACGGGAGGCAGCAGUGGGGAAUAUUGCACAAUGGGCGGANNAGCCUGAUGCAGCAACGCCGCGUGAGGGAUGACMSGGCCUUCGGGUUGUAAACCUCUUUUAGCAGGGAAGAAGCGAAAGUGACGGUACCUGCAGAAAAAGCGCCGGCUAACUACGUGCCAGCAGCCGCGGUAAUACAAAAUUUUUGUAGGGCGCAAGCGUUAUCCGGAAUUAUUGGGCGUAAAGAGCUCGUAGGCGGUUUGUCGCGUCUGCUGUGAAAUCCGGAGGCUCAACCUCCAGCCUGCAGUGGGUACGGGCAGACUAGAGUGCGGUAGGGGAGAUUGGAAUUCCUGGUGUAGCGGUGGAAUGCGCAGAUAUCAGGAGGAACACCGAUGGCGAAGGCAGAUCUCUGGGCCGUAACAUCGUGACGCUGAGGAGCGAAAGGGUGGGGAGCAAACAGGCUUAGAUACCCUGGUAGUCCACCCCGUAAACGUUGGGAACUAGUUGUGGGGUCCAUUCCACGGAUUCCGUGACGCAGCUAACGCAUUAAGUUCCCCGCCUGGGGAGUACGGCCGCAAGGCUAAAACUCAAAGGAAUUGACGGGGACCCGCACAAGCGGCGGAGCAUGCGGAUUAAUUCGAUGCAACGCGAAGAACCUUACCAAGGCUUGACAUACACGAG